UACGUAGGGCGCAAGCGUUAUCCGGAAUUAUUGGGCGUAAAGAGCUCGUAGGCGGUUUGUCGCGUCUGCCGUGAAAGUCCGGGGCUCAACUCCGGAUCUGCGGUGGGUACGGGCAGACUAGAGUGAUGUAGGGGAGACUGGAAUUCCUGGUGUAGCGGUGAAAUGCGCAGAUAUCAGGAGGAACACCGAUGGCGAAGGCAGGUCUCUGGGCAUUACCUGACGCUGAGGAGCGAAAGCAUGGGGAGCGAACGGG
rnacentral:rRNA from 1 species